UAAAUCGUUGUUUUAACCCCCUUUCUUUCUCUCUCUACCAAAACUUUCCCUCCAAAACUUCUCCCAAACGGAACGCCACGAACCCCAAACCCUAAAUUUUCAGAAGCAACUGUUGUGAACACCAAAAUCAAAACAAAGAAAGUCGUUUAUUUUCCAUGGAUGUCCAUUUGUAGAAGCACUCAUCUACCAUUUAAUUUGACUGGAAAUGGGAGGAGAAAGAGAGAAGGGGAGAUUGAGCAUUGAUUCAGAAACACAGACCAUCUCAAUUGACUCACCCUUGGAUGGGGGGGUUUUCAUUGAGACUCAUGACAGCGACACAUGCCCUGCUGAGAAUACUUUGGUGCUUGAUGAUACAGUUUCCCUUGAAAAUGAGAUUGCAUGUGAAGAUCCUGACCACAUAGAAGAUACCCAACUCGUUGAGGAUCCGAAUUGUACAAACGUGACAACCCUGUUGGUGGGGGAGAGUGAAGAAGGGAUAUGUGUAGGCAGUGAUCACGAAGAAACACAAAGAACUUUAGUAUUGAUUGAUAAUGAAGGAGUACUUGGUGAGGAGGGAUCCAUUCCCCUUAAGAAUGAUGGUUAUAAAAGGAAGUGCAAGGAAGGAGGAAACCUCUCGGUUGUCAAUGCAACCCUUGAAAAUGAUUGGGAUCGAAGAAAUAAUGUGGUAGAUUCAGAUGCUUCAACUGAUGAUGAAGUUGCAUCAGGGAACUCUAUUUCUUAUGGAUCCCCUUGUCGCCAACCUGCUUCUAUGCCGAAAUCUGGAUCUUCACAAAGAAGCUUUGCUUCCGUUCGUGCUGCAUCUUUAAGGGCAUCUGGACUUUCAGCUGCUCAAAGUAUGGGCUUAAAGAGACCGGCAUAUGGAACUGGAAGCCUGAAUCAGGAAGGCUUGAAUGCCUUAGGGGAUCAAACUAGAGGCAAGGCUGGAAAUCCUAGGGUGAGAAAGCUUUUUGUUGAGGAUGAACUUGCAGAAAAUGGAAACUCUAUUAGAAAAUUUAACAGCCUUGGGGAUGAAGAAACAAAUUCUUCUCUUUUGCCUGGUCAUUGUACUGCAGGGUUAAGCUACUUGAACUCACAGGAGCCUGGUGAAUUGUCUCAGGCUGAGGCACUUGGGGUUGUGGAUAAGUUAGUAUCAGUCAAUGGAGUGGGGUUGUCACAACCAGUUGAGCCAGGAAAAACUGGAGACAUGAAAGCAGCUUUAAAUUCAAGUGUAAAAGGGGCACAAACUCUAGCCAAAUUGGCUGAUUUGAGAAAUCCAACUGAGAAAAUUGCGAUCUUUGACUGGGAUGAUAAUCGAGAAGAUGGGAGAGGAGGUAUUUUCUCUAGCAAAAGAAAGGAGGCCUUCUUUCAGAAUGGGAAAACUGUGGACAAGGCUUUGACAGAACCACAUAAGAAUAAACGCGCUCUCUCUAAAGGACCCAAAGGCUUGGGUGAAAGGCUUAGAGAGAAGGAAGAGGAAAGGUUCUCUUAUGUACAUCAGGGAGUCCUUAAUUUUGCUCAUUCUGAUUCGAGGGUUGUGCUAUCUGGUUCUUCAAGUGGCCAUUAUAUGCGUUGUGCAAAAAUCAGCAGGAAUUUGUUCAAAGACUUAGAAGAGCAUCCAAGUCAAGUACCUUUAGGGCAAGAACCAGCAUCACCUGUGAGGUUUUCACAAGGUACUUAUGAUGUUGGUUUUGAUACCCAAAUGGCUGCUGAAGCUAUUGAAGCAUUGGGUUGUGUACCUCCUGUGACCCCUACAAAUCAAAAGGCUCUCACAAAUCCUACCAAAGGUUUGAGAAAGAGUAAUUCACGCUCUAAAUCGAAGGCUGGAUCAAAAGCUAAAGGCAAGAUAGGGAGUGAUUCACGACGUGUCUCUGUAAGGAAGAGAGGCUGUUCUUCUAUUGAUUCAGAUUAUAAUUUGAGAAAAUCUAAGCAAAUGAAGACACUUGAUGACAAAUCCAGGGAAGCUGAUCACAUUGGAUUUAGCAGGUGCAGAAAGAAGCCAAUAGCUAAGGCUGUGGAGCCAAAGUUAACUGGAGAAAGAGAAGCAAAUCAGCAAAAGUUCGAGCAAGAAGAGAGGACUGCUAAAUUAAGUGAACUUGGAAUCAGGGAACGAAGAAAGCCUCAGCUAGAGAAGAAAGAAAAGCGGAGUUUUGAUACGCUAUCAAAUGAGAAACCAGCAGGCACCAAUUUAUUGAAGGAAACUUUGAGUUCUUACCCCAAAACUAGAGCAGGGAAGAGGAAUUCAUCAGAAAGAAACCUAAAUUCUUUACUUAGUGUAGCAGGUUGUGUGAAGAACUUAGAAGCAGUUAACCAAUCAUCUUCAGCUCGAAGAAAGAGGUCGACAAAUGCUGCUAAAACAACUCAUUCCCAAACAUGUGUUCCCAAUAAGGACUCCAUUGAGGAAAUAUUUUUAAAUCCUGGAACAAGGAAAACGAGAUCCGCUUCUAAAAGCUCAGCCCCAUUGAUAACAGUCUCCAAAGAUGUGCCCACAAAAGCCAGAGAAGCAACAACACAUUUGUCUCCGGCUGAAAGAGAUAGCAUGGAUGGUAUAUCAUGCUUACCUUCUGAAAUUGAUGGCAUAGAUGGUGUAUCAGAUGUACCCAUUAAGUCCAGCGUUCGAAUAAGGUCAUCUAGGAACCCUAGUUCACGCUUAUUAUCCCCAAACCCUACAAGCAUGACAAGGCAACAGACACCUGAGCAUAGUUUUUAUAAAAAUGCGGCUAACCAUUCAGCUGCACUGGCAAACAAAGACCAACUUCACAAUAUUCUUUCAGCAACCACUGAAAAGAAAACAGAACUAGCUGGGUCAGUUUGUAGUACACCUUUGAAGGGCACAGAUGCAGUAUCACCUAUUUGUAUGGGGGAUGGUGCUCAUAGAUCAUUCACGAGAGACCCAGGGAAAUCAACUUUAAGAAGAGAACUCAUCAGACUGGAUGCUGCUGAACCAGAAGUAUCUCCUACAUUGAAGAGUGCUGGGAGAAGGAAGAGAUACAUGUCUAGUGUUCGUGUCUUGUUUAGCCAUCAUCUGGAUGAUGAUAUAGUUAAGCAGCAGAAGAAGAUAUUGGCUCGUCUUGGAGCAUGCAGUACUACUUCCUCUCCUUCGGAUGCUACUCAUUUUGUGACUGAUAAGUUUGUUCGCACCAGGAACAUGUUAGAAACAAUGGCUCUUGGCAAACCAGUAGUGACCCACUUGUGGCUGGAGAACUGUGGCCAAGCAAGCUGUUUCCUUGAUGAAAAGAAGUAUAUAUUGAGGGAUACCAAGAAAGAAAAGGAGAUUGGCUUUAGCAUGCCUGCUUCAUUGAACCGUGCAAGCCAGAGUCCUCUGCUACAGGGUAAGAGAGUAAUGGUUACUCCAAGUGUGAAGCCCAAUCGAGACCUGGUUGCGUAUCUGAUUAAGGCACUUAAUGGUCAGGUAGUCGAGAGACUUGGGAAAUCUGCAAUUAAAGAUGAUAAAAUUUUGAAGGACAUUCUGGUGAUUUCAUGUGAAGAAGAUUACAUAUUCUCUGCACCCCUCCUUGAGAAAGGUGCAAGGGCUUACACCUCUGAGCUCAUCCUGAAUGGAAUAGUUAUCCAAAAGUUGGAGUAUGAACGGCAUCAUCUCUUUGAGGACCAUGUUAAGAGACUGCGUUCCUCCAAUUUGGUUCAAAGCCGAAAAUGAGUGUUGUGGGGUACACUAAAAUGUUACAUCUCUCGAAUAAUGCUUUGGGGAAUGUGCUGAUAGGUGAAGUAAUGUAUGUGCGUUGUGUUUAGUUGUGGCUUCGAUUAAUUACAACCAGGAAUUGUUCUGACACAAUUGCGUGAUCUCGUGAUUAUUUCGACAAUUGUGCAUUUUUACGCCGUUCUUUGCCUCUCUUAGCUCUUGAGAUCAGCCACAACUGGUAGGGAUCUCCGAGGCCAAGUUUCUCCUGCACAAAUACGUAUUUUUGUAAGUUCAGAUGGCUGAUGGUUUGGCCAACCAAGGGGGUUUUGGGGAUGAGCUGCUAAUUUCAUGAUUCCGAUCUGUGCUUUCACGUUUUAUAAUCUUCUUCGUGUUGAUUUUUUUAUGCAAGACAAUGGACCAGACAGUACUCCAUC